GACGAACGCUGGCGGCGUGCUUAACACAUGCAAGUCGAGCGGAAAACUUCGGUUUUCAGCGGCGGACGGGUGAGUAACACGUGGGCAACCUGCCUCACAAUGAGGGAUAGCCUUCCGAAAGGAAGAUUAAUACCUCAUAACACAAGAGAAACGCAUGUUUCUCUUGCCAAAGAAUUUCGUUGUGAGAUGGGCCCGCGGCGCAUUAGCUUGUUGGUGAGGUAACGGCUCACCAAGGCUUCGAUGCGUAGCCGACCUGAGAGGGUGAUCGGCCACAUUGGAACUGAGACACGGUCCAAACUCCUACGGGAGGCAGCAGUGGGGAAUAUUGCACAAUGGAGGAAACUCUGAUGCAGCAACGCCGCGUGAGUGAUGAAGGUCUUCGGAUUGUAAAACUCUGUCUUCUGGGACGAUAAUGACGGUACCAGAGGAGGAAGCCACGGCUAACUACGUGCCAGCCGCCGCCGUAA
rnacentral:rRNA from 1 species